UCAGCAGCCGCGGUAAGACGAAGGAUGCAAGCGUUAUCCGGAUUCAUUGGGUUUAAAGGGAGCGUAGGCGGACUUAUAAGUCAGUGGUGAAAUCUCCGAGCUUAACUCGGAAACUGCCAUUGAUACUGUAGGUCUAGAGUACAGUUGCCGUUGGCGGAAUAUGACAUGUAGUGGUGAAAUACUUAGAUAUGUCAUAGAACACCGAUUGCGAAGGCAGCUAACGAAGCUGUAACUGACGCUGAGGCUCGAAAGUGCGGGGAUCAAACAGGAUUAGAUACCCUGGUAGUCCGCACUGUAAACGAUGAUUACUCGUUGCUGGGGAGCAAUUUCCAGUGACCAAGCGAAAGCGAUAAGUAAUCCACCUGGGGAGUACGCCGGCAACGGUGAAACUCAAAGGAAUUGACGGGGGCCCGCACAAGC
rnacentral:rRNA from 1 species